rnacentral:tRNA from 1 species
GGAGAGCUGGCUGAGUGGCCGAAAGCAGCGGUCUUGAAAACCGCCGUGGCAGUAAUGUCACCGGGGGUUCGAAUCCCUCGCUCUCCGCCA